CCCUAUGGGGUGCAGCAGGCGAGAAAACUUUGCAAUGUGCGAAAGCACGACAAGGUUAAUCCGAGUGAUUUCUGCUAAAGGAAUCUUUUGCCAGUUCUAAAAAUACUAGUGAAUAAGGGGUGGGCAAGUUCUGGUGUCAGCCGCCGCGGUAAAACCAGCACCUCAAGUGGUCAGGAGGAUUAUUGGGCCUAAAGCAUCCGUAGCCUGCUCUGUAAGUUUUCGGUUAAAUCUAUAUGCUCAACGUAUAGGCCGCCGAAAAUACUGCAGUGCUAGGAAGUGGGAGAGGUAGACGGUACUUGGUAGGAAGGGGUAAAAUCCUUUGAUCUAUCGAUGACCACCUGUGGCGAAGGCGGUCUACCAGAACACGUUCGACGGUGAGGGAUGAAAGCUGGGGGAGCAAACCGGAUUAGAUACCCGGGUAGUCCCAGCUGUAAACGAUGCAGACUCGAUGAUGCAUUGGCAUAUAGCCAGUGCAGUGUCGCAGGGAAGCCGUUAAGUCUGCCGCCUGGGAAGUACGUACGCAAGUAUGAAACUUAAAGGAAUUGGCGGGGGAGCACCACAAGGGGUGAAGCCUGCGGUUCAAUUGGAGUCAACGCCAGAAAUCUUACCCGGAGAGACAGCAGAAUGAAGGUCAGGCUGAAGACCUUACCAGACAAGCUGAGAGGUGGUGCAUGGCCA
rnacentral:rRNA from 1 species